rnacentral:lncRNA from 1 species
AUAUAUCGCUAAGCUAGAAUCCCAAAUGGGGCAACUAGCUAAUGCACUGAACAAGCGAGAGGAAGGAAAGCUUCCAAGCCAAUUAGUGAGUAAUCCUAGGAGACAAUACAUGGCUCAAGAAAAUCAACUAAAUACAAUUCAUCAUGAACAAGCCAAUGCUUUGACUACCCUAAGGAGUGGACGUGUAGUAGACAAUAAGAUUAGGGAGGAUAACAAUAAGGAAGGUGAAGAAGAGGAU